GCGAGUAUGGCCCUCACGGGUCUAAUCCACCAUAAACACCUUUGUGAACCAGUCAGGGGGACUCGGCCGUGAAAGCCCAGGCGAUUAGCGGAAGGGCCCUCCUUCGCAAACCCGUUUAGAAGUCUUGAAAGUACUUUUGUAUAAUCUAGUA
rnacentral:misc_RNA from 1 species